CCUCAAGUAAAAUUAUAAUGAUGGUAAAUAUUAAAAGUUGUGGUGUGAAUAUAAUUACCCAAAAAUAUUUACUACAAAAGGAAUUAAAUGUGCAUUUGAGUGUCAAUAUUUUUCCAUAAAAAAUAUGUUUUCCUACCUAAAUUUUCACUUUUGUGUUGUUUGAUUGACAUUGUUUCAUAGAAAAUACUUUCUUACUUUUGGUCACGUGACCAUAUUUUUCUCAAAAUUAAGAAAAAUAUUUUAUUUAGGGAAACUAAGAUUUUAUUUUUCAAGGAAUUCACCAAAUAAUAGGCAUGAGAUAUCUAAGUAAUUAGAAGAAGAAAGUUUGAAUAGCUAACAAAAAUAUAAUAGUAAUUUACCUUUCAAAUGGAUACAUCCAACGAUAUUGUACAGGUCCACCAAUACGAACCUCGCACGCAAGGUGGAUGGUUAAAUGAAUCAUUAUGUCAAAAAAAGAUGGAGGAAAAUACCUUUCUAGCAUACACAAAGUUACAGCAACAUCCUCAAGCUUUUCUAAUUUUUUUUUAUUGAUGACUCUUUGACAUAUUUCGUUGAAAAAUGCACAUAGUAAAAAAAUUGUAUUUCUUGAUCCAUUAGAUAAAAAUCCUCUUAAUAAAACUGGUAACAACUGUUAUAUGAGCACAUGACAAUCAUGAGACUUCAUAUUUAAAAUCUUAUUAUCCGCUAAUGAUACACAUUUUGAGAUGUUAGAGCUAUAACCAUUAGAUAAUCUUAAAUCAAAUAUCCUCUUACAAAAUAAUUCAUUCUCUUUUUUGGAUAGCAUAUAUGAUGUUGCCCGUAGGUAAUAUGUAUUUCCUUUCAAUUCUGGAUGAAGAUUCUUUCUAAUACCCAUAUUGAGUAAAUCCUUACGAGAAUUUAGAUCAUCUUUCGAUUUUCCCUUCAUAUGCAAAAUAGUGCCAAGAAUGCUUUUGCAAACAUUCAUCUCAACGUGCCUUACAUCCAAAUUAUGACGCAAAAGUCAUGUCUGAAAAUAACAAUAUAAAUUUAGAAAAAAAAAAGUUCAAGCAGAGAAAUAACUAAUUCAAAAUAGUUUAAAAUGACUAACCUCCCAAUAUGUAGCUCAAAAAAUAUUGACUUUUUUCUCCAUGGCCAAUUAGAAUAUGAUUUUUUCAUCUUUCUUUUUUUUCCUAUUUUUCACCAAUUAUUGCUAACAUUUUUUACUAAACACAUCACUUCUCGAUCGGUUAAUAUUUUAGGACUAGUCCUAUGCUCCUUGCUUCCAUCAAACCAAGCUUCUUUCGAUCGAUAUGGAUGAUUAUAUGCAAGAAAUCUUCUAUGAACCAUGUAUGAAAACUUUCGACUAUAUGUCAACCAUUUUGCACAUGUGAAUAACUCACAAACUGGACAUGCUACUUCGCUUUUCGUAGGAUAUCCUGAUAAGUUCCCAUAAACUGGAAAAUCAUUAUUGUCCACAUUAGCACAGCCUUCAAAUUGAAGGCAGACUUAGUAAAUCCAUCAUAUACUUCUACACCAAUAUUCCAUAUCUCCUUUAAGUCUUCUAUUAGUGGUUCUUGGUACACAUCUAUAUCUUUCCAGGUUGCUUUGGACCUGUGAUUAAUAAAGUCAACAACAAAUUUCCCUUAGAUAUGCAUAUCCAAGGAGAGAGAUUAUAUAUAACUAGUAUCACUGGCCAACAACUAUACAUAGAACUUAGGUCACCAAAGGGAUUAAAUCUAUCAGAAGAAAGGCCAAGCCUAAAAUUUCGUGGUUCUGAUGCAAAACAAGGCCAUUUUUGAUCAAUUCUCUCCCAAGCUAAUGAAUCAACUGGAUGACGCAUUUUUCCAUCUUGACUUUUGUGAUUUGAGUGCCAUAUUAGUUGUUCUGCCUUAUCGAGUAACCUAAAUAUUCUUCUAAAUCGUGGUAUAAUUGGAAAAUAUCACAAAACCUUUGCAGGUAUCCCUUUUUGAAUCUUCUUAGUCCGUCCAUUAACUUUCCACCGCGAAGAUCCUCAUUUUGGACAUGUAUCCAAAUUCACUAGAUCCUUUCUAAACAAGCAACAAUCAUUUACACAUGCAUGUAUCUUCUCAUAGCCUAAAUCAAAGGUGUUCAAUAACCUUUUCGUUAAAUUGCAAGAAUCAGAAAGUGUGUUCCCAUGUGCUAGCAUAUCUCGGAUAAUUUCAAGAAGUUCAUUAAAACCAUUGUCAGAUAUACCAUGAGUAGCUUUAAGCUUAUGCAGGACAACAAUUACAGAUAUCCUUGUAUACUUCGUGCAACCAGGAUGUAAAGAAAUUUCGACGUCGUCAUAUAAAUUUGAAAAUUCUUUCUCUCUAUCUUCAUUUUCGGAUUCCACAUUAUUGUGAUCCUAAAAAAAUGCAUCUCUAUACAUCCUAUAUGUUAGGAAAAUGUUGUAAUUGGCAAUCUGUGACCAAAAGGACUAAUUUGUCGAGUUUGUAAAGUCAAGGACCAAUUUGUCAAUGUCUAAAAGUUCAGGGACUUGUGUUGCAAUUUUGUAAUAAUUAAUGUAUAGGUCUAGGGUAAAGUUGGAUGCUUUGAAGAUGAAAACAGCACAAGAUUGGUGCUAGAGUUUCGUCCUGACCUCGCUCGAGCCUAAAUAACAAAACCUGCAUCGCUGGAGUUUCGCCACCACUUCGCUCGAGCGAGAAUGCAUUGCUAGAGUUUCGCCGGCACUUCGCUCGAGCGACAGUGUCAUCCGACGUUUGGAAAUUUUCCUUCCUAGUGAAUUUUAAACGCUCCAUACUACUAAAAACGACCUACUAUAUAAACAAAAAUUCCGCUUUUCAUUAACAACCUUUGGCAAAAUACAUAGCACAAUAUUUUCCUCUCUGCCAAAGGAUCAAUUGCAAAACUCUUCACCAUAUGAUUCAUUGAAGAAAAAAAACAUCAAACACCUUUUCAAACAAAACACCUAUCAAAAAUCCUCACUACUUCCAGAAGAUCAGUUGAUUGAAGAUCCGGGAAGGAGGUUGAUUGAAGAACUGGAGUUCUUCUUGAUUCACGGGAAAUAGAAGAAAUACAAGGCUGGGAUUUUGGCACAGAUCUGCAGAAUCCAGGAGAGCUUUGGUUGAUACAGUAAGGAGGUCAGAGUGUUGUUAGAUACAGUCAUGUCUGGCGUACUGUAAGUUGGAGUCUUCUAUAGUGAAUCUCUACUGGCUUGUGCUCGAAGUUUUUACCCAAUUGGUUUUCUCCGUCAACAAUUUUUGUGUUAUUUAUUGCUUUCUGUCAAUUUCAAUUCAACCAGCAAUUCAACAUAGGUAGUUAAAUCAUGUGAAUGAAUCUGGACAACGUUUAAUUUAUGUGACUUGUUGCAUAACUUAAUUAAAUUGUUAAAUUCCGCAUAGACACCUAUUCACCCCCCCUCUAGGUGUUGGUUGGGUCGAACUAUAGCCUUUUCAAGUGGUAUCAGAGCCAAAUCUCGAGUCCUGACUCAUAGUUGUCUAGAUGAGUCAAUCAUUUUCUGUACCUCCGUAUUUUGAUGGAAGUAAUUAUGCUUAUUGGAAGGUUAGAAUACGUGCGUUUCUUAAGUCCUUAGAUGAGCAUGUUUGGUUGAGUGUGCAAAAUGGCUAAAAACCUCCCUCCACUAUCGUAUCAGGAACUGUUAACCUUACUGAUAUAUCACUGUGGACUAAGGAUGAGAUAGCUGAGUGUAAUUGGAAUAACAAGGGACUUCAUGCCUUGUUUAUGGCCGUGUCUCCCGAAGAGUUUAGGAGAGUGUCAAUGUGCGAAACUGCUAAAGAGGUGUGGCAUAUUCUUGAAACUACACAUGAGGGAACUAAAACGGUAAAGAACUCAAAAUUACAAAUGCUAGCUUCUAGGUUUGAAGAAGUGAGGAUGAAAGAUGACGAAACCUUUGAUGAAUUUUAUGCAAAAUUGAAUGAUAUUGUUAAUUCUAGUUUCAAUUUAUGCGAGAAAAUUUUCGAGUCUAAAAUUGUUAGAAAAGUACUUAGGUCCUUGCCCGAGAGAUUUAGGCCUAAAGUUACUGCCAUUGAGGAAAGUAAGGAUCUAGAUGAAGUUAAAAUUGAAGAACUUGUAGGAUCCUUGCAAACUUAUGAACUCACUAUCACACAACCUAUGAAAGGAAAGUCCAUUGCUUUAAAAUCCAUCAAAGAUGAUGAAUCUUCCGAUACUGAGUCUCUGAGGGACGAUGAAAUUGCUUACUUUGUGAAGAAAUUUCAAAAGGCUCUCAAGAAUAAGAGAAAGCCUCAGGAUAGAAAAAGUGGAGUCCCUAGCAGAUUCUCAAAAGAAAAAACUGAAAGGUUUAACAAUAAAAGUUCUAGUGAUAAACCACGUUUGGUUAGGUGCCAUGAAUGUCAAGGUAUAGGUCACUAUAGGAAUGAGUGCCCUAGUUAUAAGAAGAAUCAAAGAAAAGGGCAAGGUAAGGCCUUAGUUGUUUCACUUACUGAUAAUGAGUCUGAGACCAGUGAUAGGCAGGAGUCAUCUAGUAGUGAAGAUGAAGGGAGCUAUAUGGCAUUUGUGUCGACUAUUAAGAGUGAUUCUGAUAAUGAGAGUGACAAGGUUGAGGAAGAACUUCACAACAAUAAUUCUAGUAAUGAGGAUGAGGAUGAGGAUGA
rnacentral:lncRNA from 1 species